rnacentral:rRNA from 1 species
UACGAAGGGGGCUAGCGUUGUUCGGAAUCACUGGGCGUAAAGGGCGCGUAGGCGGCCGAUCAAGUCGGGGGUGAAAGCCUGUGGCUCAACCACAGAAUUGCCUUCGAUACUGUUUGGCUUGAGACCGGAAGAGGUUAGUGGAACUGCGAGUGUAGAGGUGAAAUUCGAUAGAUAUUCGGCGGAACACCAGUGGCGAAGGCGACUCACUGGCCCGAUACUGACGCUGAGGCGCGAAAGCGUGGGGAGCAAACAGG